UAUGGACAGCAUGGACAUGGUCAUAUUCAAGUAAAACUUUCUACCAUAGAAGCCACAACAAAUGGAACUAUCAUAAAUCUUAAUCUCACAUUAACCUGCAAUCAAAUUGCUUGUUUAAACAAUUAAAUGUGUAUGUGUCAUUUGAAAGUAGAAAAAUAGGUCUUCUCCAAUUUUAAAAAGAUGCAAUUUAAUUGGAAAAACUUCAAUAUGUUUAUAUUCAGGGAUAAGAAAUCAAAUCAGCAUGUGACAAAAUCUGAAAUCAAGCUAAAGUCUGUCAUAUAGGUUUGAAUUCAAGCACAUAACAUCAAACAGUUUAGCAUCACGUGUGAAACUGCAUAUGGACCCUCCGAAAGAAACCAAUACUUGAGACUUAAACUUGGGCCAAACAUCUAAAUACGGUUGAACCCUCCUUUACCAUCAAAUUCAGCAUAAUUCUAUCACAUAGUUGGAAAUGAUUAGCUCAAAAAAAAAAAAAGUAG
rnacentral:misc_RNA from 1 species